GUCUCGUUGGUGUAGUUGGUUAUCACGUCGGUCUCAUAAUAUGACCGCGGUUCCGCGGAUAUGACAUCUGGAGGUCGCCAGUUCGAUCCUGGCACGGGACA